rnacentral:lncRNA from 1 species
CUCCUGUGCUCAAGUCAUCUUCCUACCUCAGCCUCACUUGGGAUUACAGGCUUGCACCACCACACCUGGCUAAUUAAAAAAACAUUUUUUAAAGACAGGGUCUCGCUAUGUUGCCCAAGCUGAUCUCAAACUCCUGGGCUCAAGUAAUCUUCCUGCCUCAGCCUCCAGAGUAGCUGGGAUUACAGGCGUGAGCCACCACCCAGCUAUAGUUUUAACAAAGUCUUCAGUUGAUUCUGAUAUAUCCAGUUUUUGGACUUACUGUUUGCCUUGAGAGUCAAUAGGGGCUUUGACUUGUCAUC